GACGAACGCUGGCGGCGUGCUUAACACAUGCAAGUCGAACGGAAAGGCCCUGCUUGCAGGGUACUCGAGUGGCGAACGGGUGAGUAACACGUGGGUGAUCUGCCCUGCACUUCGGGAUAAGCCUGGGAAACUGGGUCUAAUACCGGAUAGGAGCCAUUUUUAGUGUGAUGGUUGGAAAGUUUUUUCGGUGUAGGAUGAGCUCGCGGCCUAUCAGCUUGUUGGUGGGGUAAUGGCCUACCAAGGCGGCGACGGGUAGCCGGCCUGGGAGGGUGGACGGCCACAAUGGGACUGGGAUACGGCCCAGACUCCCACGGGAGGCAGCAGUGGGGAAUAUUGCACAAUGGGCGCAAGCCUGAUGCAGCGACGCCGCGUGGGGGAUGACGGCCUUCGGGUUGGAAACUCCUUUCGCUAGGGACGAAGCUUUUUGUGACGGUACCUAGAGAAGAAGCACCGGCUAACUACGUG
rnacentral:rRNA from 1 species